rnacentral:lncRNA from 1 species
CGUCCCCCCAAAGGGACUGGCGGCAAAGGAGAAUAGAACGCAGAUGGUUAAUAGUUCAAAUGAAAUUUAAAAACCUAUAAACCAAUACUUUUUUAGAGGAGAAAAGCGUUCACCAAACCGCCACCCGGCAAGCGAGCAUCCGAUUUCCAUCCGGAGGAAAAAAUAUUUUAAAAACCAGACAUAAAAUUCCCUUUGCAAGAAAAGUGGCCUCUAAACUCCCUUGCCAAGGACACUGGGAGGAAGCAGAAAAGCAAAGACCAAGCUCGUACUUUUCAGUCCGCGGCUUGUGUGCCGCGAGGAGAGGCGCAAAGGGUGACACACCAGGAAAGGUGAACGCAGAGGGAGCGGGAGCCCGCGGCGGGGAACGGUGGGGGCGGAACGGACGAGGUACCCAAGAUGCGGAGAGAGGGGCAACCGGGCGGAGGGCAGCUCCGAGGCUGCAGGCGGGACGGGCGGGGUCCCCGGCGCAGCCCGGAUCGCCGCGGCCAAGUAAAGUUAAUACUUACUCAGUUUCGCAACUGCGCCGCCCCCGCAGGCCGCCCAGAGGGGCCGGCCGGGGCGCUGGGGACGCGGCGGCACCCGGAGCUCCGCGGCCGCCCAGCGCCCGUCCCCGCGCCGCACUCCCCGGCACUCCCCGGCGCUCCCCGCACCGCGCGCCCCGCACCGGCUGGAGGCCCCGGCCCCCCGGCGUUCCCUCUCCGCGCACCUCCCGGCCCGCGCUACCGCCCGCGCCUGGCCCGCUCGCCGGCGCCGGGAGAGACCUCGUAACGGAACUGGGACGCCAGCGCUGCAUUGUGGGAGCUUUUAAAGCGGCGGGGAGCUCGGCGCGACCCUCGGGCCCACCGGGCCACGCUCGCGCGGCCCGCGACGCCCCCCCGCUGUCGCCUGGCCCGCGACGCACCGAGGCCUGAGGACCCGAAAGCCGGGCGCGGGGAGAUGACCGGUGGCUCGUGACGGUCCCAGGGGCAAAAUCUUCCAUCGCCUGGGGCUGAGACUUGUCAAACUGCCCUCUACGGUCACCCGGAAAGUAGGAGGCUUUUUCUGCAGAGGGAAAAAAAAUCAAAAAGAGCCGUUCCAUCCCCCCUCCAAGGACUGGGUUUGAAUUGCUUUUCAUCUGCAGUGGCUGUGAUUCAGCGUCCCUCUUAGCAGCAGGCAAUGACAGAGGCAGUAGAGGAAAAAAAAAAAAAAAAGAAAGAAAGAAAAAACACAGCAAAUGAAUCAAACGGACGUGAGUAACAAAAGUUUAGAAAGAGCUGGGCUCGGAUUCAGAAAAAACGCCUCAUCCCCCCGCCCCGCUGCACUCCCAACCCCUUUAAAAAUAGCAGAUAAUCAAGAAAGGAAACGGGUGCUUUCAUAUGGAAAUACAGAUGUGUAUGUUGUUUUCAAUAUUCUACUGUUUUUUGUGUGUGGCAUGCAAUUACUCAGGCAAUGGGCAAAAUUCAGCCUUUGGAUUUUGUGGUCACACAUACCCCAACUCCGCAACAGCUAUUAAUUUGCAGGGCGAUGGGGUGCGGAUAGUGGAUGAGAUACAAAAAAGCAUUGCAAUUAAAAUGCCCCCCCCACCCCGCCUUUUAAUUUUCCAGACACUUGCUUUUAUUUUUCUUUUUUUAAACAUCAUCAAAACAAGAAUAUUAAACUUGAAGCAGAAUUUGUUACAGCGUAUCUGACUCAGGACCUGAUUUAAGGUUUGGGGUUUUUUGGCCCUUUGUUUCUUCCUCUUGUUUUUUGACUUCAGUUACUCCACACCUCAUUAGUUCCUUGACCUGCAGGUGGACUGAGAAGAGAGCCAUGGUAAGACUCAAAUUUGUCAAAUCAACAUUUGGAGAGGAGAAAGUUCGCUGUGAUUCAAAUGCAAAACCAAAGGGAAUAUGAUUUAAAAGUCAACCUGGAGGGCAUGGAUCCUCCCUUAACCCUACUUGACUCUUUUCAAAGGAGUUGCCUAGCCUUAACAGGUAGCAGGCAAGAGUGUGGUUAUCGUUGGACCAGGAUUCAGGAUCUGACCGAGUAGCUGACUCUUAAUCCAGUUUGUGUUGAUCACCAGGAGGAUCUGGACCUCAGUGUUAUCACAUCUAGACUAUAAUCACAUCCCUGUUAAGCCUUCCUGAGAUCACACCAAAUGUCCUUGAUGGGAAUUGUAAACAACCCUUACUUCUGGUUUCUAAUGAUAUUCCAGGAAAGGAGCCUAACUAGAGUCGUGAUAUGCCAACUCCACCUUUGCCUUCCACCAUGUUUGGAAGCUCCCUAAGGCCUCACCAGGAGCAGAUGCUCGUCCCAUGCUUCCUAUAAGCCUGCAGAACUGUGAGCCAUAAUAAACUGUGAAUUAUAAAUUGCCUUUAUAGCAAUGCAAAUGGACCAGUACAGAUGGGAUGCUGGGAAGACAGUUGUUCCACCUUCAGUAAAGUCCAUGGAACACAGUUGUGACUAUAUUCUAGGCCAGCCAAGAUGCUUGUACUCAGAAAGGAGUGGUCUCAGGACCAUAAGAAAGUGAAAAAAUAAAAAUAAGAAAAUAAAGAAGGGAUUGUCAAUGAAUCAGAAUUCAUCAAGGCCAAAGUCUUAGGAAAUUCCUUCAUGAGGAAGUCUAGGGGGGCUAUGGAAAUGAAAAUUUUUAAACAAAUAGGUAUGUGGUGGUGGCAGGAAUAAAUUAUGGACUUAUGAAUAUAACAUAAGAUUCUUUAUUACCUGGUCUCACCCGUCUUUCCACCUCUGCCCCCCUUCUUGCCCGACUCUGUGUAUCACCCAUAAUAAACUACUUAUAGCUUCCUAGUGUUAAAUUUACCCUAAAGCUGCCUCCUUCAAUAUUUUAAGUUUAACCUAAAGGUUCUUCAUACAUAGUGAACUAUAUAACCUAAUGAUUAAACAGAUUGUAACCUACUCUUGUACCAGUCACCAAGUUUCAGCCAAUCAGAGAUGGCCAACUUUUCAAACCAUGCUCAAAUAAGGGAAAUGUCAUGGUGUAACUAAUCCAGCUGUUUCUAUACCUUCCUUCUGUUUUCUUAGGUCACUUUCCUUUUUCUGUCCAUAAAUUCUCUCCAACCACUCAGCAGCACUGGAGUCACUCCAAAGCUAUCCUGGUUCAGGGGUCUGUCUGAUUCACAAGUCAUUCUUUGUUCAAUUGAGCUCUGCUAAAUUUAAUUUGUCUGAAGUUUUUCUUUUAACAGAUGGUGUCAGAAAUGGACCCCAAAGUAGAGCUCCCAGUGAUCCCCCAGGAGCACUGAGUGACCACAAGGGGUACCUGAUGGGCCCGUCCUCUCGCAGUGUCCACUGCUCUCUUACAGCAACUGGAGAUUGUGGCUACAUUCUCUCUCAGAUUCUGAAGCUGCAUACAUUGCCGUUUUCAGCUGUUCAAGCUUGCUUGAGCAAAUUUUUGAUCUUAGCUGAGUUUGGAAGUCGAUAGACAUUGGACUGGGUCCAGGAUUUGAUUGGAUCUGAUAAUUAACUGGCUUGGAUCCAGUUAGAUGCCUCGGGUAUCUGACUGGGUCAGAUAGAAACCGCCAGUAAAUAUUUUAAUAACAAUACUGCAGGGUUAUGAACUCUGGCUUUAAGAAACUCACAAGGAAUUUUAUGUUCUAUACCCUUUGUUUCUUUUUCUUGUGUGCUAAGGUCAGGAAAAAUCAUUAGUCAAGUUAAUCAAGGGGAUCUGAAAGCCAAAUACAAGAUUGAACGUAAAAAUGGAAUCCUUGGGCUGGGCGUGGUGGCUCAGGCCUGUAAUCCCAGGACUUUGGGAGGCUGAGGCAGGCGGAUCACCUGACCUUAGGAGUUCGAGACCAGUCUGGCCAACAUGGUGAAACCCUGUCUCCACUAAAAAUACAAAAAUUAGCCAGGCGUGGUGGUGGGCACCUGUAGUCCCAGCUACUUUGGAGGCUGAGGCAGGAUAAUCACUUGAACCCAGGAGGCAGAGGUUGCAGUGAUCUGAGAUUGCGCCACUGCACUCCAGCCUGGGCGAAAGAGCGAGACUCCAUCUCGUAAAUAAAUACAUAAAUAAAUAAAGAAAUCCUUAAUUUCUGCGGAACUGAGUGCUCUACCUUCUGGCUACACCUACCUAUACCUGUAUGAGGUAUAGGCCCUGGAAGCAGCAAACAUUUACAGAAAUGGUGAAAUCUUACUAAAGGUAAUCUAAAGUUAUGGUGGAACAUCCCAAAUGAGCAACACUGCACUUUAGGAAGUACAUAUAAAAAUGAAGUCUCCCAAUUUAGUAUUAUUCAGGGAUGGCUGUUGAAGUUCAGAAGCUUCUAAAAAGAUUCCAAUAUUUUUACAGAUUCUUUUAAAAGAUUCUUUGUAAAAGGCAAAUAAAAAGCUUAAGUGACUAAUCAGAAAAAUUAGGUCUUCUAACCUUUUGUCAUUGUUACUGUCUUGCCCUGAAAGGGAAAAGAAAGCUGGAUAAAGUAUUUAUAGAAGAUAGAGGACCUGUGGUGGCUCAUGCCUGUAAUCCAAGGUGGAAGGAUUGCUUGAGGCCAGAAGUUCAAGACCAGUCCAAGCAACAUAGCAAGGCCCCAUCUCUACAAAAAAUGAAAAUAAAAUUAGCCGAGCGUGAUGGCUCACGCCUGUAGUUCUAGCUUCUAGAGAGGCUGAGGCAGGAGGAUUGCUUGAGUCCAGGAGUUCAAGAUUACAAUGAGCUAUGGUCACACCACUGCACUCCAGCCUGGGUGAUGGAGUGAGACUGUCUCAAUAAAAAGACAAAAAGGUAAGCCCUUAGGUAAAGUAAGCUUGCUUCUUUGUUAGAGCUAUCCAUGCUGAGUCCAGGCAAAGAAAAUGCUUUCUUUGGCCUGGUGCGGUGGCUCAUGCCUGUAA